rnacentral:rRNA from 1 species
UACGGGGGGGGGCAAGCGUUGUUCGGAAUUACUGGGCGUAAAGCGCGUGUAGGCGGCGUCGUUAGUCGGAUGUGAAAGCCCUCGGCUCAACCGAGGAAGUGCAUCCGAUACUGCGAUGCUUGAGUGUUGGAGGGGGUGGCGGAAUUCCCGGUGUAGAGGUGAAAUUCGUAGAUAUCGGGAGGAACACCUGUGGCGAAAGCGGCUCACUGGACCAUUACUGACACUGAGGCACGAAAGCCAGGGGAGCGAACGGG